UACAGAGGGUGCGAGCGUUAAUCGGAAUUACUGGGCGUAAAGCGUGCGUAGACGGCUAUCUAAGUCGGGUGUGAAAGCCCCGGGCUCAACCUGGGAAUUGCAUUCGAGACUGAAUAGCUAGGGUGCGGUAGAGGGAAGCGGAAUUUCCGGUGUAGCGGUGAAAUCCGUAGAUAUUGGAAAGAACACCGGCCGCGAAGGCGAUUCACUGGCUCAUUACUGACGCUCAGGGACGAAAGCCAGGGGAGCAAACGGG
rnacentral:rRNA from 1 species